rnacentral:rRNA from 1 species
GAUGAACGCUAGCGGGAGGCCUAACACAUGCAAGCCGAGCGGUAGAGAUUCUUCGGAAUCUUGAGAGCGGCGUACGGUGCGGAACACGUGUGCAACCUACCUUUAUCUGGAGGAUAGCCUUUCGAAAGGAAGAUUAAUACUCCAUAAUAUAUUGAUUGGCAUCGAUUGAUAUUGAAAGCUCCGGCGGAUAGAGAUGGGCACGCGCAAGAUUAGCUAGUUGGUGAGGUAACGGCUCACCAAGGCGAUGAUCUUUAGGGGCCUGAGAGGGUGAUCCCCACACUGGUACUGAGACACGGACCAGACUCCUACGGGAGGCAGCAGUGAGGAAUAUUGGUCAAUGGGUGCAAGCCUGAACCAGCCAUCCCGCGUGAAGGACGACUGCCCUAUGGGUUGUAAACUUCUUUUGUAUAGGGAUAAACCUACCCUCGUGAGGGUAGCUGAAGGUACUAUACGAAUAAGCACCGGCUAACUCCGUGCCAGCAGCCGCGGUAAU